CCUACGGGUGGCAGCAGUCAGGAAUCAUUGACAAUGGUCGGGACACUGAUGCUGCGACGCCGCGUGAGGGAUUAAAGUUCAUAGUAUUGUAAACCCCUUUCAUCAGGGAGCAAAUUAGGAAGAGAGUACCCGGAUCGGAGUAGACGGCUAACUAUGUUCCAGCAGCCGCGGUAAUCCAGAGGUCUCAAUCGUUGUUAGGCAUCACUGGGCGUAAAGGGUGAGGCUGCUGUUUCGUACAUGGUGUGUGAAAGGCUCGGGCUCAAACCGCGGACGGCAGAUGAUACUGGGAGACUAGAGUAAUGGAGGGGGAACCGGAAUGCGCGGUGUAGCAGUGAAAUGCGUAGAUAUCGAGAGGAACACU
rnacentral:rRNA from 1 species